GCCAUGGCUGCAGCAACACGGCGUGUAAUCUGGAUGGAUAUGUCAGGGUACACAUGCACUUACUUCAAGAUGACGACACUCCACCUCAAGAACAGCCUCUCCUCAGUGAUAAGUAGCGAGAUUAAAUGAAAGGGAGAUAUCACAUCCGUAACCAGGCUGAUACUGUGUUUUCCUUUCAUUUAACCUCCUUCUGCAUUUAAGGAAGCAUUGAUAUGCCCAAUAAAUGUUUUUGUUAAAUUUC